UGUGUAAGUGUUGACUCUCAACUUGCACAUGUGAUUUUUUAACACUCCCCGGACUUCUGCAAAAAACAAUUAUUCAGUUCACUGAUUAAGAUGGAAGGGCAAGAACAUGAAAGAUAAAGGGGAAACUAUAAACAGAAGAAAUUAUCAACAAAAUAAGAUUUACAGAGGUCAACAAAGCCUAAAUGGUCAGACAUCUCGAUUUUCAUGGUCAUCAUUCACAGAUCAAUACUGAACGGAAAACUUAAAGCUGAUAUUUUUCUCCAUGGUGCAUCUUUUUUAUUAAUUUGAAAUGGAACAUGUUUUUUCCUACAUUUAUUUGAAAGAGGAAAUUUCAACAUGAUGACUAUAAACAAAAAGGAGUCAUAUCAUCACGAUCAUUGAUGCACAAGAACUUGAUCAUAUAAAUACAACAAUGUAAUUAUCAAUUGAAAGAUGGAACGAAUGAACAAGAUAUUAGAAUGUUGUUGUCCAAAUAAACUUGCUUUGUCUUCUCAUUUGAAUCUUUCUAUCCAAUAAAGAUGUACAGAGGAAGAUCUUUGAAGAACAGAUUGAAAAAAUAUUUUGUCUAAGAAUUGCAGGAAUAUUCUAGUGAAUGAAAUUAUUUAUUGACUUCACUCUUAUAUAGUGGACUGAAUAAUUGUACAUAGCAAGUUGUGAAUAAAGAAAGCAAAAACUUUAACAAAAAGUGUUUAUAUUAUAAAUUUGCAAAUAUAAGCAUACUAUUAUGUACACCACAAAGGUAUAUAUAAUUCAAAUUGUUUGCCUAUACAAGUAUUGCAAUGAACCUAUAACAAAGAAAAUCUUACCUCAUGAAAAGAGUGAACUAUUCAGUCAGAAUAUGAAAUAUUUUUUCAGUUCUAUUUUUCAUAAUAGAAUAAACAAG